rnacentral:rRNA from 1 species
AGUGAACGCUGGCGGUAGGCCUAACACAUGCAAGUCGAACGGCAGCACAGUAAGAGCUUGCUCUUACGGGUGGCGAGUGGCGGACGGGGGAGGAAUACAUCGGAAUCUACUUUUUCGUGGGGGAUAACGUAGGGAAACUUACGCUAAUACCGCAUACGACCUACGGGUGAAAGCAGGGGAUCUUCGGACCUUGCGCGAUUGAAUGAGCCGAUGUCGGAUUAGCUAGUUGGCGGGGUAAAGGCCCACCAAGGCGACGAUCCGUAGCUGGUCUGAGAGGAUGAUCAGCCACACUGGAACUGAGACACGGUCCAGACUCCUACGGGAGGCAGCAGUGGGGAAUAUUGGACAAUGGGCGCAAGCCUGAUCCAGCCAUACCGCGUGGGUGAAGAAGGCCUUCGGGUUGUAAAGCCCUUUUGUUGGGAAAGAAAAGCAGCAGGUUAAUACCCCGCUGUUCUGACGUUACCCAAAGAAUAAGCACCGGCUAACUUCGUG